GACGUAGGUGGCGAACGUUAUCCGGAAUUAUUGGGCGUAAAGGGUGCGUAGGUGGCCUGACAAGUUAUCAGUGGCAAAUCGAGGCUCAACCUCGUGGAAAGCUGGUAAUACUGUUCGGCUUGAGUACAGGAGAGGUUAACGGAACUCUAUGUGGAGCGGUAAAAUGCACAGAUAUAUGGAAGAACAUCAAUAAAGGCGAAGGCAGUUAACUAUUCUGUUACUGACGCUGAGGCACGAAAGCGUGGGGAGCAAAACGG
rnacentral:rRNA from 1 species